GGUUAAGCGACUAAGCGUACACGGUGGAUGCCCUGGCAGUCAGAGGCGAUGAAGGACGUGCUAAUCUGCGAAAAGCGUCGGUAAGGUGAUAUGAACCGUUACAGCCGGCGAUGUCCGAAUGGGGAAACCCAGUGCAAUUCGUUGCACUAUCGUUAACUGAAUACAUAGGUUAACGAGGCGAACCGGGGGAACUGAAACAUCUAAGUACCCCGAGGAAAAGAAAUCAACCGAGAUUCCCCCAGUAGCGGCGAGCGAACGGGGAGCAGCCCAGAGUCUGAAUCAGCUUGUGUGUUAGUGGAACGGUCUGGAAAGUCCGACGGUACAGGGUGAUAGUCCCGUACACCAAAAUGCACAGGCUGUGAACUCGAAGAGUAGGGCGGGACACGUGGUAUCCUGUCUGAAUAUGGGGGGACCAUCCUCCAAGGCUAAAUACUCCUGACUGACCGAUAGUGAACCAGUACCGUGAGGGAAAGGCGAAAAGAACCCCGGCGAGGGGAGUGAAAAAGAACCUGAAACCGUGUACGUACAAGCAGUGGGAGCACCUUCGGGUGUGACUGCGUACCUUUUGUAUAAUGGGUCAGCGACUUAUAUUCUGUAGCAAGGUUAACCGUAUAGGGGAGCCGCAGGGAAACCGAGUCUUAACUGGGCGUUAAGUUGCAGGGUAUAGACCCGAAACCCGGUGAUCUAGCCAUGGGCAGGUUGAAGGUUGGGUAACACUAACUGGAGGACCGAACCGACUAAUGUUGAAAAAUUAGCGGAUGACUUGUGGCUGGGGGUGAAAGGCCAAUCAAACCGGGAGAUAGCUGGUUCUCCCCGAAAGCUAUUUAGGUAGCGCCUCGUGAACUCAUCUUCGGGGGUAGAGCACUGUUUCGGCUAGGGGGUCAUCCCGACUUACCAACCCGAUGCAAACUACGAAUACCGAAGAAUGUUAUCACGGGAGACACACGGCGGGUGCUAACGUCCGUCGUGAAGAGGGAAACAACCCAGACCGCCAGCUAAGGUCCCAAAGUCAUGGUUAAGUGGGAAACGAUGUGGGAAGGCACAGACAGCCAGGAUGUUGGCUUAGAAGCAGCCAUCAUUUAAAGAAAGCGUAAUAGCUCACUGGUCGAGUCGGCCUGCGCGGAAGAUGUAACGGGGCUAAACCAUGCACCGAAGCUGCGGCAGCGACACUAUGUGUUGUUGGGUAGGGGAGCGUUCUGUAAGCCUGCGAAGGUGACCUGUGAGGGUUGCUGGAGGUAUCAGAAGUGCGAAUGCUGACAUAAGUAACGAUAAAGCGGGUGAAAAGCCCGCUCGCCGGAAGACCAAGGGUUCCUGUCCAACGUUAAUCGGGGCAGGGUGAGUCGACCCCUAAGGCGAGGCCGAAAGGCGUAGUCGAUGGGAAACAGGUUAAUAUUCCUGUACUUGGUGUUACUGCGAAGGGGGGACGGAGAAGGCUAUGUUAGCCGGGCGACGGUUGUCCCGGUUUAAGCAUGUAGGCUGGUUAUCCAGGCAAAUCCGGAUAAUCAAGGCUGAGGUGUGAUGACGAGGCACUACGGUGCUGAAGUAACAAAUGCCCUGCUUCCAGGAAAAGCCUCUAAGCAUCAGGUAACAUCAAAUCGUACCCCAAACCGACACAGGUGGUCAGGUAGAGAAUACCAAGGCGCUUGAGAGAACUCGGGUGAAGGAACUAGGCAAAAUGGUGCCGUAACUUCGGGAGAAGGCACGCUGGUGUGUAGGUGAAGUCCCUGCGGAUGGAGCUGAGACCAGUCGAAGAUACCAGCUGGCUGCAACUGUUUAUUAAAAACACAGCACUGUGCAAACACGAAAGUGGACGUAUACGGUGUGACGCCUGCCCGGUGCCGGAAGGUUAAUUGAUGGGGUUAUCCGUAAGGAGAAGCUCUUGAUCGAAGCCCCGGUAAACGGCGGCCGUAACUAUAACGGUCCUAAGGUAGCGAAAUUCCUUGUCGGGUAAGUUCCGACCUGCACGAAUGGCGUAAUGAUGGCCAGGCUGUCUCCACCCGAGACUCAGUGAAAUUGAACUCGCUGUGAAGAUGCAGUGUACCCGCGGCAAGACGGAAAGACCCCGUGAACCUUUACUAUAGCUUGACACUGAACAUUGAGCCUUGAUGUGUAGGAUAGGUGGGAGGCUUUGAAGCGUGGACGCCAGUCUGCGUGGAGCCAACCUUGAAAUACCACCCUUUAAUGUUUGAUGUUCUAACGUUGGCCCCUGACCGGGGUUGCGGACAGUGUCUGGUGGGUAGUUUGACUGGGGCGGUCUCCUCCCAAAGCGUAACGGAGGAGCACGAAGGUUAGCUAAUCCUGGUCGGACAUCAGGAGGUUAGUGCAAUGGCAUAAGCUAGCUUGACUGCGAGCGUGACGGCGCGAGCAGGUGCGAAAGCAGGUCAUAGUGAUCCGGUGGUUCUGAAUGGAAGGGCCAUCGCUCAACGGAUAAAAGGUACUCCGGGGAUAACAGGCUGAUACCGCCCAAGAGUUCAUAUCGACGGCGGUGUUUGGCACCUCGAUGUCGGCUCAUCACAUCCUGGGGCUGAAGUAGGUCCCAAGGGUAUGGCUGUUCGCCAUUUAAAGUGGUACGCGAGCUGGGUUUAGAACGUCGUGAGACAGUUCGGUCCCUAUCUGCCGUGGGCGCUGGAGAAUUGAGGGGGGCUGCUCCUAGUACGAGAGGACCGGAGUGGACGCAUCACUGGUGUUCGGGUUGUCAUGCCAAUGGCACUGCCCGGUAGCUAAAUGCGGAAGAGAUAAGUGCUGAAAGCAUCUAAGCACGAAACUUGCCCCGAGAUGAGUUCUCCCUGAGACUUUAAGUCUCCUGAAGGAACGUUAAAGACGAUGACGUUGAUAGGCCGGGUGUGUAAGCGCAGCGAUGCGUUGAGCUAACCGGUACUAAUGAACCGUGAGGCUUAACCUU
rnacentral:rRNA from 1 species